UGAACGCUGGCGGCGUGCCUAAUACAUGCAAGUCGAGCGAACAGACGAGGAGCUUGCUCCUCUGACGUUAGCGGCGGACGGGUGAGUAACACGUGGAUAACCUACCUAUAAGACUGGGAUAACUUCGGGAAACCGGAGCUAAUACCGGAUAAUAUAUUGAACCGCAUGGUUCAAUAGUGAAAGACGGUUUUGCUGUCACUUAUAGAUGGAUCCGCGCCGCAUUAGCUAGUUGGUAAGGUAACGGCUUACCAAGGCAACGAUGCGUAGCCGACCUGAGAGGGUGAUCGGCCACACCGGAACUGAGACACGGUCCAGACUCCUACGGGAGGCAGCAGUAGGGAAUCUUCCGCAAUGGGCGAAAGCCUGACGGAGCAACGCCGCGUGAGUGAUGAAGGUCUUCGGAUCGUAAAACUCUGUUAUUAGGGAAGAACAAAUGUGUAAGUAACUAUGCACGUCUUGACGGUACCUAAUCAGAAAGCCACGGCUAACUACGUG
rnacentral:rRNA from 1 species